CACCGGCGGCUCGAGUGGUGGCCACUUUUAUUGGGUCUAAAGCGUCCGUAGCCGGCUUGGCAAGUCCCAUGGGAAAUCUGGCGGCUUAACCGUCAGGCGUCCAGAGGAUACUGCCAGGCUUGGGACCGGGAGAGGUGAGAGGUACCUCAGGGGUAGGGGUGAAAUCUUGUGAUCCCUGAGGGACCACCAGUGGCGAAGGCGUCUCACUAGAACGGGUCCGACGGUCAGGGACGAAAGCUGGGGGCACGAACCGG
rnacentral:rRNA from 1 species